UCCGCUCUCUGUCCUCGCAGCGUUCCCAUCUUAUCUUCCUGCUUCAUGAUGUUUGUUUGGAGACCUCCAGGUUUUCUGUGUUUCUGAUGACAGUGAACACAUGUGAGCCGCCGUGUGGACUCCACUCCAACAAAUCCUCUUUACUGCUGCUAUCAGGAAGGCUGCAGCUCCGUGGUGUCAGAACGGAGGCUGAAGUGCAAACUGUGAUCCAGAUCCCACCGUUUCCACAACUAUUUUUAUCGCUCGCUAAUUAGCGAGACUUUUAAUUUGUGCUUCGUCCUCCAGACGGACCACAGGGGGUUUAAUACUCCACAACCUGACGCUCCCUCUCGCACCUCCACCAUCAUGUUGCCGGUGACAACUAACGAACGAUGGGGAAAGUAUCUUUAUAUUGUUUAAUAUUAACUUAAUAUUAACUUAACUGAAUGUUUGAAUGCCUGGUGUUUCCAAAUGAAGUUUGCCAUUUGAUUCCAAAUAUCACAUUUUUAUGACUUUUUUAUAACAUUUUUAUGGCCCACUAUCACGUUUUAUGACAUUUUUUACGAUAUGCUAUACUAUGACUUUUUAUAUGACAUGCCUUGAGCACAUAAAGACCUGGGUGACCUGUAAUUUUCGGAUGUUAAACGCAUACAAAACUGAAGUUAAUACACGUAGAUGGCAUUGCCCCGGCCUCCAGCACCACCAUCUAUAUAACAGAGAUAUCUUUGAUCAGGAUACGUCCGUUAUCUCCCACAUGAAACAAACUUCGAGGAUCACCUUCUUUCAUCUACGUAACAAUGGAAAAAUCAGGCACUUCCUAUCUCAAAACAAUUCCUUACACUCCCAAUAAUUUCCAGUUGAUCCAGAAUAUUUUAAUAAUAUUUUUAUUUAAGAAAAACAUUAGUAUUCACAGAUAUUUAACACAGAGCAUUUUCACUUUCCCACUGCCUAGACAAAAAAACAUAUAAUAACAUAUCUACACAGAGAACGAUGGUUCAAAAUUAAGUAAUACGUUUAAAAAAAAUUAUAAUAAUGUAAAUAACAAAAAAGAAAUGAAUAAAUAAAAUAAAAUAAAUAAAAAUAUAUCCAGCAAACACAUUAAAAUAAAACAUACAUACAGAUUAAUGAAUUCAACAUUUUGCAUAGGAAAAGAUAAACACAUUUUGGGAUGUUCAAGUUAAAUUACAGUGCCUGCCUAAAUUUGGAGAAGAGACUAACUAUAAAUAAAUAAGAUAUUAAAGGGUCCCAUGUUGUAUGGAUUUUUUGGGUUGACCCUCUAACGUAAUAUUUUAUCUUUUCUAACUUAAGGAAGAGCAUCAGGUCAUUCAUCAGAGCGAAAGCUUUCGGUGGUUGUGUUCGAUUUCCUCUCCAACAAAAUCCUUCUAGAGAUCCUUCAACAAGAACACUGCAAAACAAUCAGAGCAAUAGUCAUAAUCACAGCAUAUUAAAAGAAAUGUGUGACGACCCCUCCACUCCACUAGGUGUCCUGUGUCUCUUUGCUGGUUCUCCUUUGUUUUGCAGGAGAGAGGGUCGUCAGGCUGAUGAGCCACACCUGGCCUUGGUGUGGUUGGGAUAAAAGCUCUCUACCUUUCAACAGAUGUGGCUCUCUUCCUUGGCUGGCACACCUGUUUUGGUUUUGUUUGCGGGAGACAUUUUCACAUGCCCACAUCACUGAUUACUGACUUUCCACGUUUAUUUAGUUAUUUAUUGUUAGUUUGUUAAAUAAAUGCCUGUUACUAUUUUUAAACUUGUCUGGUCUCCCAUUUUUGUUGCAACCUUUGAGCCGGGUUGUAACAAAUGCAUGUUACUAACUUAACAUCUGGGUAAUUGUCCCCUGAGUUUUAGUUCUUUCUGUUUGUUGCCGUGUUUCUGCUUGAUGUCCACAGCUACUAUUUUCAUUAUUAUCAUUAUUGUUAUUAUUAGUCAUAUUUCUAUUAUUUUUAAGGUUCUUAUUGUAAUCCUUAAUGCUGUGCAUCUCUCUGUCUCCCCGUCUCUUCUCUCCCUCUCAUAGUUCUGCUUCAAGUUUUCAUCUCGUGAAAGGACCUCUACGCCUCCAGGACCCUAAGAAUUGAAGGGAAGGACUGUGGCCGACCCCUCACAACGUGGACACAUACUUUUUGCACAUCCUGUACAAAACUAUCGCUAUAAAAAAUAUUUUAUUUUACAUAUUGCAGACAUUUUGUAAAUAUUUGUUAGGAAAUUAUUAUAGAACAUUUUUCAUAUUUGUAUUUUCAUUUUUCUAUUUCAUAUUUAUGUUCUUGAGUUUUGCAGUACUUUGCUUGUAUUUUCAUCUCUUCUUAAUAUGACUAUUGUAGUGUUUUAACCAAAAUUCAUGGCAAA